CACGACGUUGUGAUUUAUUUAGUUUGUUGUGUAUGUUUUUUUCCUGCUCGUUUGUUAUGUUGUAUUUGAGGUUGUUGCGUUUAGUGUGAUGUUUUCGUUUUCCUCGUUUCUUGUGUUGUGAUUUGGUUAUGAAUUUUUAUUUUUAUUAAACGUGGUAUGAGUUUUUGUGCUUUACGUUGAUUUGUGCUCGAAUGUGAGCAACACAAACGAGUUAUAUUUAAUUUACCGUAUGUAGCUCAGAGACAUAUGCAUAAGGUAGAAGACACGAGAAGAAGAGAAAAAGAGUUUGUUUAUUUACCUGGUCCAUCAUUUGUUCUUGGUGACUGAAUUUUCUCCUGAAGUUUUGUUUCUGUUGUUGCUC